GGGCGGGCUGGGGACAGGGCCCCGGAGCGGGGUUGACACUGGAGGAUGGUUGGUGGUGGCCAAAAUGGGAGUGGUGAUGAUGUUAAAUACUGUGAGGAUUUUCUGAGUUAGUAUGCACUAAGAUGGCCCACAGGAAGCACUCUCUAAAUGUUAGCUGCUGCCAUUCUGCUAGGGAUAUGGAGGGUAGGAUGGAAGGAGUCUUCCUGGGGGCAAGUAAUUGUAAUGAUAGCAAGUAAUAUGUGACAGGCAUUGUCGUAAGCCACAGUGCUGUGGCUGUUGUUAUUAUUGUUAUUCCUAUCAUUAAGGCUGCUUCGCAGAUAAGGAAACUGAGGUUAUGCGACUUAGCCAUAUGAUCUUAGGGAAGUUACUGAACAUCUCUGUGCUUCGGUUUCUUCAUCAGGCAAAUUGUGAUAGUAGUCCCCAGGGCUGGAGCAGACUCAAAGAGGGGAGUUUUACUUGGACAGCAGUUCUCCCUCCAGCCCCCUCCACUGGGUAACCUCUGUUCCCAAAUUGUAAUAGAAAGCGUGUGUCUGGGAAGUAGGGGGAGUUGUACCCGUGUACUCUUCCAACUCCCUCACACGCCGCCUUGUCUCCAUGUCUAAAUGUCAGCCCCGCACGAGGCCGGUUUUCCUUCCUAAUCUCCCUCUCUCAUUCUUCACCAUUUCCUACCGGGCUGUAGGCUGGGGCUGAAGAGAUAAGCGGUCUGGGGUUCAGCAUCGCUGACUAACAAAUAGAUUGACAGCCCCACUGCCCAGUAGCCUGGCCCUAUGUCCCUUUUAAAAACUUCAUUUCCACCCUUCUCUUUCCUUCCACUCUUUUCCUACCAGAACAUGUUUUGGGUUUUUUUUGUCCCAGUGGAAGAGGAUCAAGCCCUAAGACUUUUAAGCUUCCAUGUGCUCCAAAGAAAAUGUGAUACACGCUGAGGAACAUUCUGGGGGUUAUGAUGCCUGCAGAGUAAUAGAGAAAGGAGCCCUUUAAGACCCAUGGCCCAUUUUUCUUUAUAGUCAGAAGACAGAUUCCUGAAGAGCAGAGGUCAGUAAACUUGUCUAUAAAGGGCGAGAUAGUAAAUAUUUUAGGCCUUGCUGGCCACAUAAUGGUUUCUGUGGCAUGUUCUUUCUUUUCCUUUAAAAACGAAGAAAUGGGGGUGGGAGGGCAGCUGCAUAGCUCAAGCAGUUAAGCAUCUGCCUUCCACUCAGGUGGUGAUUUCGGGGUCCUAGGAUCAAACCCCGAAUCAGGCUCCCUGCUCAGUGGAGAUUCUGCUUCUCCCUCUCCCUCUGCAGCUCCCCGGGCUUGUGCUCUCUCUUUCUCUGUCAAAUAAAUAAAUAAGUUCUUUUUUUAAAAAAAUAGUUUAUUUAUUUGACAGAGACACAGUAAGAGAGGGAACACAAGCAGGGCCAGAGGGAGAAGCCCCAUGUGGGACUCGAUCCCACAACCCUGGCAUCAUGACCUGAGCCAAGGCAGACCCGUAACAACUGAGUCACCCAGGUGCCCCAUAAAUAAAUUCUUUUUUUAAAAAAUGAAGAGACCAGCUGAAGUCUGACUUUGGCCUGAAGGCUAUAGUUUUCUGAUCCUGCUGUAGAGUGUCAGUCUUUGGUUUCCUUUAUCUGGCUGGGAUUCUUUCACAGGAUUGAAUGCAGAGUUUCCGUGCUUCCUGAAGAGAGGUAUUCCUUUUGUGUGAGGACUGCGAUUCAUGGACAGGAUAAGGUCACUUUUGGUGUUCUACUGGGUCAGUGUUCAUCGACAGAGUGAGGAUAGGGAUUCCUGUAGUUUCCAUGCUUUUGUUGCCUCUCCUGAACCAAGCAGGGAUUUCUAUACAGGGCAAGACAGUUGUUUAAGGAGAGCUCCAGACUAGGGGUUCCCAAACAAGUUCAGGAUGAGGCUCCUUAGACUGCAUUAUGAGUUUCCUACAAAGAGAUCAGAUGGUCCAGUUCAGGCUCAGCACAAGUAUUUCUCUACAGGUUCAGAGCUAUGUUAAUGUAGGCAGUAGGUACAGGUGUUCACGUCUAGAUUCGAUCAAGGAAUUGUUUUCAAUUGGGCUAAAUUAAAAAAAAAUUAAUAUCUUAUUUAUUUAUUUAUUUGAGAGAGAGAGAGAGAGAGAGAGUGGGGAGAAGAGCAGAGGGAAAGGGACCAGCAGACUCCACGCUGAGUGUGGAGCCUGAUGCAGGGCUUGAUCUUACAACCCAGAGAUCAUGACCUGAGCAGAAAUCAAGAGUCAGAUGCUUAACGACAAAGUCACCCAGGCACACCUGAGCUAAAUUUUUUUUUAAAGAUUUUAUUUAUUUGUUUGACAGACAGAGAUUACAAGUAGGCAGAGAGGCAGUCAGAGGGAGGAGGAAGCAGGCUCCCUGCUGAGCAGAGAGCCUGAUGCUGAGCUUAAUCCCAGGACCCUAGCAUCAUGACCCGAGCAGAGGCUUUAACCCACUGAGCCACCCAGGCCCCCCCCCCUUUUUUUAAAGAUUGAGCUAAAUUUUGUUUUUUAAAGAUCUCAUUUAUUUAUUAGAGCGCAUGUGUGUGAGAGAGAGCAUGAGUGUGUGUGAGAGGUAGAGGGAGAAGCAGACUCCUUGCUGAGCAGAGAGCAUGGGGCUUGAUCCCAGGAUUCCGGGAUUGUGACUUGAGCCAAAGGCAGAUGCUUAACUGACUGAGCCACCCAGGCAUCCCAACUGGGCUAAAUUAUGCUAGCUGCUGUAACAAACCCAGAAUAUUAGACAAUUACAAAUAAAUGUUUAUUUCUUGCUCAUAUAAAGUCCAGUGUGAAUAUUACUGAUCAUUCAGAAACUCAGGCAACUUCCACUUUGUGGCUCUGCUGUCCUCUGAAUCCUUGGAGUUCGCACUAUUGAGCUGGUAGAUAGGAAAAGAGAGUGAAGGAUUCCAUGAGAGAUUUAUAUGGGCCGGGCUUGGAAGUGGUGUAUAUCACUUUGCCCACACUGCAUUGGUCAGAAUUCUGUCACAUGUCCACAUCUCACUGUAAGGGAGGUCAGAAAGGUGAGUGAGCUCAGGAGAACACAGGAUUUAAAAACCUAUAGCAGGGCCUACUACAGGAGUCUACAGACCCCACAGAGCUAUCAGUCCCAUGUGGCAGCCACUAGCCACAGUCAGAAUAAUGGUUCCUAUAAAGGGGGGAAGGUGGGGCUUCCAGGACAAGGUCAGGGCCAGGGCUGUCAGAGAGAGUCAGGUCAGAACAUCCUGUUUGGGGUUAAGAGAAUGUUUCCAGAAAGCAAGAUUAGGAGUUCCUAUAAAGGAUCAGGCCAGAGGGGUGCUUGAGUGACUCAGUCAGUUAAGCAUCUGCCUUCCGCUUGGAUCAUGAUUCCGGGGUCCUGGGAUCGAGUCUUGUGUGGGUUCCCUGCUCAGUGGAGAGCCUGCUUCUCUCUCUCUCCUGCCAUUCGCCCUGCUCAUGUUCUUUUGCUCUCUCACUGUCAAAUAAAUGAAUAAAAUCUUUUUUUUUAAAGGAUCAGGCCAGAGAUUCCUGUGAGUGGAGUUAAGGAUUUCUGUUGAGAGGAAAAGGUUUUCUAUGGAAAGUCCAGUCAGAGGGUUCUAGUACAGUUGUAGGCAAGGCUGCCUGUAGAGGGUCAGGGCUAUGAAGCUAACACGUGGUAAAGAUGGAAAGCCCUGUACAGUAUGGCCAGGUGAGGCCAUAAAUAACUGUAUAAGAUGAGUUCUAGGCCUAAAGUAGAGGGUCAGGACAGGCAUCCAUUCCUACCACAAGCUUAGAAAAGGGUUUUCUUUUUUUUUUUUUUUAAGGAAAGGGUUGUAAGUUCAAGACUGAGGUUCAUGUUAAGAAUUGGAUUACAAUGACGGGAGUGGGGACGCCUGGAUGGCACAGUUGGUUAAGUGUCCAGCUCUUGGUUUCAGCUCAGGUUGUGAUCUCAGGGUCCUGGGAUAGAGUCCCGCAGUAGGCUCCAAGCACAGCAAGGAGUCUGCUUAAAAUUCUUUCUCUCCCUCUGCCCCUCCCCACCACCUCGCGCAUGAGCGCGUGCGCUCUCGCGCGCGCUCUCUCUCUCUCUCUCUCUCUCUCUCUCGGCUCGGCUCAGGUCAUGAUCUCAGGGUCCUGGGAUUGAGCCUUGCUUCGGGCUCUCUGCUCAGCAGGGAGCCUGCUUCCCCGCCCCCCCCCCCCCCGCCGCCCCCACCUGUCUGUCUGUCACAUAAACAAAAUCUUUAAAAAAAAGAGUUGGGGGGCACCUGGGUGGCUCAGUGGGUUAAGCCGCUGCCUUUGGCUCAGGUCAUGAUCUCAGGGUCCUGGGAUCAAGUCCCGCAUCGGGCUCUCUGCUCAGCAGGGAGCCUGCUUCCUCCUCUCUCUCUGCCUGCCUCUCUGCCUACUUGUAAUCUCUCUCUGUCGAAUAAAUAAAUAAAAAAAAAUCUUAAAAAAAAAAAAGAGUUGGAUCAUGGGUUUUAUGGACUCUACAGGUUAGGGUGUGAGAUCAAAGAUUGUGGUGCAGAGUGACAUCAAGGGUCAUUAUCAACAAUGGAGACAAGAGAUUCUGUAUUCAGUUGGGAGUUCCCAAAGAGGUUGAAGAAAGUUUCUGCAGAGAGAGCUAGGUCAGUGGUUCAGAACUAAAUUUUAUUGUGAUGCAAGUGUUUCUAAAAUGCUAUCUGGAGGGUUGAGCUCCAGUACAGUGUGAAGACAGAGGUGUCUUGUCCAAAGUCAAGGCAGGUUUUCUAUAGAGAGAUCAAGACUACCAAAGAGGGUCAGGACAGGUGUUUCUUUCUUUUUUUAAUUUUUUUUUAAGAUUUUAUUUAUUUAUUUGACAGAGCACAGGCAGGCAGGGGGUCAGAGGGAGAGGGAGAAACAGAAUCCCUCCUGAGCAGGGAGCCCAAUAUGGAGCUUUAUCCCAGGGCCCUGGGAUCGUGACUUGAGCCAAAGGCAGCUGCUUAACCGACAGAGACACUCAGGCACCCCAGCACAAGUGUUUUCUAAAGGGUGGUGAAAGGGCUUCCUUAGAGUGUGAGCUCACAGAUUCCUAACUGGCCUGAGUCCAAGGUUCCAGUGCCAUGGGAGGACAGGGCUUUCUCCAAAGCAAGGUGAGGACUGAUGCUUCUGUCCAUGGUCAGCAUGGGUUUCCUGUUGCUAAUUAGACAAAGGGUUCCCUUAGAGUGUCAGGCUAGGGCAGCUGUUCUGGGAGGUAAGAGCUGGGGCUCCUGAGCAAGGGAGGGCCAGGCACAUGUCCAGCACAGUUUCUGAGAGGGGUUUCUGUUCCAGAUGCAACAGGGGCUCUUACAGGUUAAGAGGGCUGGGGUUCUGUGGGAUGGCCAGGGAGGCAGGAGGCUUUUACAAAGACCAGGGAGGUUCUGGACAAUCCCUGUAAUGAACAUGGACUGCCAUGAUUCUGCAGAGGGCCCGCGUGGCCAGUAGCUGAAGGAGAGCUGUCCUGAGAACAUCUGCUUACCCCUACUAUGUUCAGGACCCGCAGGCCCACGGUCUUUGCUCUGGGGCUCUGGGGGAAAGCCAUAAAGAGAAGCAACCCAAAAGCAAAUUCAGAUGUGAGUGGAUUGAGUGAUGAGAGCAAGAGCAAGGGAGGGGGGUAGAGAGAGAGGCAGCCCAGUUAAGUGUGAGCAAGACUCAUAUGGGGGGGAAGUGGUAUUCAAAAUCCACUCCUUAAACUCUGUGUGGCCAGGGCAAGUAACACCAGUUAUGAGCUUUACUUUUUCAUUAGCAAAACAAAAAUGUAAAGUGUGUAAUAUACUUUCCUUUCCUUGGAGUAAUUUUUUUUCCAGGUGUUCAGGAACUAAAGCAACUGAAGCUUCCCAGCUAUUGCCCGACCCACAGUAAAUGCUCAGCAAAUGGGGCUCCUUGCUAUCAGGAGCUGCUGGGUGGUAUGGAGACUAAACCACAGAACCUGGCUUGGCCCCCUGUCUCCAGCUAUGUGGCCUCCAGUGAGCUACUUAACCUCUCUGGCUCAGGGUGUCACCUGACUCCACACAGGCUCCUAUGUAAGGGUUUUCCAUUUUGGAAUUUCUUUUUUCUUAAGUAGGCCCAAAAUGGGGCUUGAACUCGUGACCCUGAGAUCAAGACCUCAUCUGAAGAGUCUGAGGCUUAACUGCGUGAGCCACACUGGUGCCCCAGGGUUUUCCAUUGUGGAAGAACAGAUUCUACUCAGGGUGGGGAACAGCUGGCCCAGAGCUGCAGGCCGAGCUGGGCCCAAAGAGAUAAGCGAUGACUGACAGGGAAGGUCCCCUGGAUAGCCUCAUGGUCGCACACUGGCCUUCUGACCUUCUGGACAGCUCCCAUUCCAGUCCCCUCUUCCCCCCGCCCCCCCUUUCCUCUCCAGCACAUGUCUUGUGUCCUCUGGAAAGGGGGUCCCUGAUGUAGACCCAGCUGAAACUCUGCAUGUUGAUACUUUCCACGAACGAGUACACACAGAACUGCUUACACCUGACAGCCACUCAAGAGACACUGUGGCCUGGCACACACCACGGGAUCCGCACUCCCACACAUGUAGACUUGCAGAGAAAUGCUGCCGUUACCCGAGCCCCAGGGCUCACUGGAUGUGCAGACCCCCGUGGUGCUGCUCUAAGACUUCACACGCCCCCACACACAGCCUGCUGCGUUCAACGUUCCAGAAGCAUCUGUCCGUCCAGGUCUGUGCCCCACACGUAAGACAUCACACUGUCUUAAAGAUCACCCCAACGUGGCGUGUAGUCACAUGCCAUGCAUUCCUCCCGCGUGUGCCAACCGCACAUGCACUCCACGUCCUCUCCUGUACUCCUGGCUCCCACUGUUGCCAUGUGUCAUGCACCCCGUCUUGCAGAGCCUCACCCCCUCAAUCACAUGCCGUAUCUCACCCUGUGGUGUGUGGUGACCCAUGCAGUCUCGGGCCACCUAGAAGCUGCCACAUGCACUUUCACAAACAUUGUUCACAAUUGCAUGUCACAACCCACAAUUGUGAAGUGUCACACAGGCGCCCACACCAGACGCUAUCCUCAGAGACACCCAGACACAUGACCUCCCUCCCGUCGUUCUUGAUUUGGUCCCACACAGACUCACAUCUCCACUCUUGGGACUUUGGACUUUGGUGGUUUUAUUUUACAAAAGCUUUGAAGGUCCAGGCCAAGGGGUGGCUAGGCAAGAGGGCUGGGUUGUAAUAACUGCUGCCCACACAGGAGAGGGUCCCCGCCCCAGCCCCGAGGCCAUGCUCUGUGUCCUCAGGAGCUCAGUGGAGCCACCACGGUGGUGGUGGUGGUGGUGGUGGGAGGAACGGGACCUGCUGGGAAGGAGCCUGUGGGGGAACCCAGCAGGGGUCCCGGGAAAGGCACGAGGUGGCUCACGGGCCCUGACAACACCACAGGGCCCAGGCCUUGGUAGAGAUGGGCAGUGCUGGGCGGGCCCAACGUCAAGCCGGAGGCCAUCUCCCCACAAUUCCCACUCCCGCUGCCCCCGGCCACCACCAUGAAACCACCAGCUGGUCCUUCAGCUGCUCCUGUACCUCCCAGACUUGACCCUCGUUUCUUUUUCCCUUUUCCAGAUGCCUUGCGGUUUCGAGUCUGGAUACCAUCCUUCCGCAUGGUCAGUGGUCGGUUCACCUGCCAAAACGGAAGUCCACGGUGUUUCCCAACUCCACAUCUUUGCCUCUGUGUCUUGACCAGGGAGGCCAUCUCCAUCCCACCUCGUUAAGCAUAGGGAAUUAUUUCAGGGACUAGGGGAGCAUGACCCUGGUAUGGUGCAGGGAUUGACCUAAGGAAUCCUAAGGAGGAAGGAGGAGGGUCAGGAGGUCAUGGAAGGGUGUGAAGAGAUGAAGGAAUGGGAGGAGGGAGGAUGAGGACCAAGGUGGAGGGGAAUAGAGAAGGAAGGAGGAAGCAGAAAAGUUGGGGAGAGGGGAGGGUUAUGAGGCCAAGUAGACAUGGGGAUGCAACAGGAGCAGGGGAGGAGGGAGGCUGGGGUGGGGGAUGAGGCAAGACAAACCUGGUGUAGCUUGUAGUAGAGGCCACAGGCAUUGCACACAGGGUCCCCGCUAGCAUUUCUCCGCCACAGCGUCGUGGUGGUUGUCUGGCAGUUAGUGCACUGGGUACCUGCCCGUUUGCUGACAAUCUGGGGGAGAGAAAAUGUGAAGAUCAGCCCACUGGCGGGAGGGGGGAUGCUUAGGGGACCCAAGAGGUCAGGGUCGGGUUGAAGGUAGGGCUUCCGGUGCAGGGUGAGAACAGAUAUAACUUAACAGGACGAUGACUGUGGGUGCUGUAUGGGAUAGGGCUUCCUGGACAGGGUUGGGGAUUUUGGUAUGGGGGUGAUUCCCAAUUUUGGCCAUACAUUGGAAUCACCCAGGGAGUUGAAAAUCAUCCGAAGGCCCAGAUGACUCCUUAGGCCAAUGAAAUCAGCACAUCUAGGGGAGGGUGCCAGGCCCCUGGUGGUUCAGGUUGUCCUAAGGUGAGUCCCAUGUGAGCCCAAGGAGGAAAACAUUGCUGUCGUGCAGGGACAAGACAGGGUUCCUGGAAGUAGCCUAUGAUGGUAGGUUGAGGAUAGGCAUUCCUAUGCAAAGCUGGGUUCCUGCAUGGAUGGGGAAGGGAUGGGGUUGGGGGAUAUGAGUUCUCAUAGAGCAGGAGGACGGGGAUCCCUGCACAGGUCCAGAACAGUUCCUAGGGAAGGGGAGGCAGGCCUGGGGUCUUACCAGGCGCUUCUUGGGCCGGAUGAGGGGCCUGUUCUGCCCAUUCAUCUUGUGGUAGAGGCCGCAGGCAUUGCAUAGGUAGUGGCCCGUCCUGUCCCGCCGCCACAGUGGAGUGGCUGUUGCUCCGCAGUUCACACACUCCCUGGCCUCUGAUGGGGUGGACAGAGGGGACGAGGAAGCCCAGGCUCAGCCCAGCUUUGCCUUGGAGACCCCCCCCCUCCGAUUUUAACCUCCCUGUCCCUUUGUGGGGACCUCACCACAGGGGGGCAGGGGCAGUGUUCCACGAAGCUUGGGGGAGGAAUAGGCCGCUGGAUUGAGGGGGCUCCCGGUGGGAGAAAAGAAGGUACUGGAAAAGUCAGGACCCCCGUAGGCACUGCUGGGGACGGGGAUGGAUGAAGGCAGCGCAGGCCCCAGCGUCAAGAGAUCUGGACUUAGCCGCUCUGUCUUUAAGGUCUCCAGGAAGCUGCUGCCGCCUUUCCCAUCUGGGUCUUCCGGGGCCUGGGGAGGGGAGUCCUCACGGGUGGGGCACACGGCUGCGGCAGGGUAGAGCCCCGUCUUGCCAUAGGUCCAGCUGGCAUACGGUGAGCCCCCUGGGAUCCCCUCCAUACAGUUGAGCAGUGGGUACACCUGAAAGACUAUUAUGGAGGGUGGGUACAGGAAGGAAGGAGGGAUCAGUCCAAAGCCAUGGCGGUGCCCCACAGCUCCGACUGAGUGGCCAAGUCUCCAGUCUUCCCACAGGCAACUGGAACAGCUAGCUGCUGGCCAUCGGGUAAUUCCUGGACAUUGACCCCCAUGAUCACUUUGGCAGCUGUGGUAACCUCCACCCGUUUCCAAAGGGGCGUUGAGGAUGCCCUUUGGGAUUCAGAGCCCCAUGGGUCCCUUGACAACGAGGGCCGCCACCACCCACUUCCAAUGUUGCUUUCCAGCAUGGCUAUAGCAAGACCGCGCAUGGGGAGCAUUGGCAUCAACUGGGGGAAAUGGCUAUUUUCAAGAUGACCUCUUAGUGGGAUUCUGCCCUAGCUAAGGGUCACCCAGACAUGGAUGUCCAUGGCCACCCAGACAGCACGGAGCCUGUGCUAAGACAGCCACCCGGAGGAGUUUACCUGGGGAGUGCCUGUAGGCUUCAGCAUCCCUGUAGUAGGCCAGAGCUGCCGCUGCAGCUGUGGCAGUGCUGGGGGCCGUGGAGGAGGCUGCUGCAUCCAAUCCCUCGGGCCCAGAGGAGAAGAAGACCCCCGAUUCUGGUGGUGAGGAUACCAAGGCCGGGUCCACAAACUGGGGCAGGGGCUCGGAGGGCCCCAGGGCCCCUAGGCCAGGGAACUCCAUGGGGCCUUGGAUGGGACCUGUGAGGACGGGAGGGGUCCUCAGACUCCAAACUCCUCCUCCCCUUCCCACCGCCCCCUUCUCUCCUGUCUCCCUUUCCUACUCCAUUCCCUCAGUCUUCCUGUCCCUCUUUUCCUCCCCAGAUGUCGCCCCUUCUUCCGCUCCAUCAUCCCCUCCUUCCUUCUGCCCAGCCCCCUUCCUCUCCUUCCCUUUUAUUCCCUCUUCUCCCCUUUCGCUUUCCCCUUCUUCUCUCGCCCUCCUCCCAUCUCUUCUUUUUCCUCCUCUCACAACUCCCCCUCUUCCCCCUCGUGCUUCUCUUCCCACUCCUCCCUCCUCUUUGGGCCCCUUAUACCCUCAUUCUUUCUUUCCCCUGCCCUCCUCUUCUCUCCCUCUACCUGUUGCCCCUCCUCCUCUCCCUCUUCUGUAACCAGCCACCUCUUCCACCUUCCCCCUUUCUACAUCUCUUCCCCGCCUCAUUUUCUCUUUCCCUCCUGCCUGUCCCCUUCCCCUUCUCCUGUGCUCCUUUUCCUUCAUCCUUCUCCUCUCUCUCCCUUUCUGGUCAUCUUUUUAUCUUCUCAUUUUCUCCCCCUCCUCCUCUUCUCUCGCUCUAGAGGAGACUGGGUGGGAUGGGCUGGGGUGCAGAGCCAAAGGCCCCUGAGCCACAUGUCACCCCUGGGACCUUGGGGUUCACCCUCCUGUGCUCCCCAACUUCAUCCCUAUCUGUUGCAUCUUUUAACUUUCUCAGAAACCCAUGGUUUCCGGCUUGACUCCUCCCUCCCCCCACCUCCGUUGGGUCUGCAGACAGAGGGCCCCCUUAGUUCCUCCCCACUCCAUGGGGGGGGUCAGUACCCCCCACCGCUUAUCUCUGCCAUCCCCGCCCAACUUUUGAAAUCACCCCAAGGCUACUGGCUUCCUCUGAGGAGGGGUACAGGUCUGCCCGGGGGAGGCCUACCAUAGUUCUGCUUUUGGGUUCCUUCAUUUCCAGCCAGCCCCAGGCCUCAGUUUCCCCAUAUGCCAGAUAGGAGGUAGUGACAGGGGCCCAGCUAAGACCCGUGAGAUGGCGGCUUCGUCUUUGCCCCUUUGUCUCUGUCCUUCCCUGUGUGUGUAUCUGUGUCCCUGUGUCUCUCUCCUGGCGACACUCUCUCUUCUCCAGCCUGGCCCUCCAUAUUUCUGUCCCAUCGUCUUAUGCUACCAUGAUAUGUCUUGUCCUCUCUCUUUCUCUGCUUUAAUGAGUGCCGAAUUUCCCCCCUCCCUUUCUCUGGCUUUCCAUGUCUCUAUCUCUGGCUGUCUCUCUCCAUCUUCAUCUCCAUGUCUUUCACCUCUUUCUGUUUCACUUGUCCCUCCCUCUCCAGUCACGUCUCUGAAUGUCUCUGCAUCUCUCCCUCUCAGUCUCUUUCUGCUUGUUUGUCUCCUCUCUCUCUCUUUCUGCCCUCUGGCUUUAUUUCCAUGUCUGUCUUACUAGUCCCACAUGCUUGGCCAUACCCCACUGCACACAGCCCGGGUGAGGAGCCGGCAAACCUACUCUUGCCCCUGACUUGCCCUGUGAAUCCGGAGGCCUCAGUUUUCCUGUCGUUGGGGUGGAGUAACAGAGAUAGGGGAGAAGGCCAUCUUCACAGCCCCAGCCUACGUGAACCACUGUGUGAACACGCUGAAGGUUAGGCUCAGGGUUGGGGCUUGUAUGGGUAAAGAGAGGAGCCCAUGAUUGUGUGGGUAAAGAGAGGUGCCCAUGGCUGGGUCCACCACCAGCCUUGCCCAGGCCCCAGGAUCUCCACUCAUUCUCCCCAGAGUGGGUGUCUUGCCUCCUCCUCUGUUUCCGUCUCUUUCCUCUGCAUCUCUCCAUGAUUUCUUCUAUCUGUGAAGCUCUCUCUACAUUCCUGCCUUGCUCGUUUUCUGUUCCUGGGUCUCCUUCACUUUCCUACUAUCUCUGUUUCUCUUUUCUUUUUCUUCCUGUCUCUUGCUGUUUGUCACUGUCUCUUCUUCUGGCCCCCACCCCGCUCCGUUUCUCCCUUCCUUCUCUGUCUGCCUGUCUCUUGUUCUUUUUGUCUCUGUCUCCACUGUCCUUUAUCCCCCUCAUCCUCAUCUCACUACUCCCCCGUGAUCUCCCUCCAGUCCCACUGCCCCACAUCCCUGUACCUAGCACCUUGGUGGCUCCAGGGCUGCCCACCCCUCCUAUGGCAGGGGCCCAGCCCCCCCACCCCCAGUUAUCACUCUCCGGACAGAGAUAAAGUUUAUCUCGAGGCUGGGGGAUAUGAAAGCUCCUUAUCAGCUGCCCUACUAGAGUAAGUGCUGCCCCAACGGGCAGCAGGCAGCAGGCCGGCACCCUCAACUCUCCCAAGGCCCAGCCCCUCACCCCAGGUUCUAGAGCGUAUUUGUACCUCAUCCAGACGAGUCCACCAAGCCAGAGGAGUCCACCAAGCCAGAGGCAGAACCUAAUUCCCCUUGGUGUCCAUCGCACAGAGAAGCACUUCAACCAGAGCCUGGCUGAGGAGUCCCUCCUUUGUCUCAGAACUGAGCUGUUGCAUUUUUUUUUUAAGAGACAAGUAUAAAGGAUACUGUAACAAA